rnacentral:rRNA from 1 species
GGAGGAAUAUUGGGCAAUGGCCGAAAGGCUGACCCAGCAACGCCGCGUGGAGGACGAAGGCUUUCGGGUUGUAAACUCCUUUUCCGGGGGACGAGGAAGGACGGUACCCUGGGAAUAAGUCACGGCUAACUACGUGCCAGCAGCCGCGGUAAAACGUAGGUGGCGAGCGUUAUCCGGAUUUACUGGGCGUAAAGAGCGCGUAGGUGGUUGAGUAAGUUGGAUGUAAAAUCUCUUGGCUUAACUGGGAGGA